CUGAGGCUCCUCAUUCAAAUUCGUUAGAGCCAACCCCGCCGCCCCGGGGCAUGCCGGGAACGCGGGCUGCCUCCACAGCUGUCAAUACCGCCUCCUAACCUCCGUACUCUAGCUUUCCCGACACUUCUGCUCAUGCGCAAACUCCUACCCCAACCCCCCACGCCUUGAACAUGCGCAGAAUCAUCGAGUGUUCACCGUUCUGCCUUCGCUUACUCAGUCGCAGCCCUUCUCUUUUCUUGCGCGUGCGUGCAGCUCCUAUGCUCAGCCUAAGAGGUAGAGGGGCCGUGCGGAGUGUGGGCCCGAGGGUCCGUAGAUGACGUAUCAGUCGAUAGGCAUUUAUUCUACUGUUCAAGGAAAACAAAUAAGGGUGCAGCUUAGGCGAAAAGAAAAACAUCUUAUUGCCAGUGUCUAAACUCCAACGGAAUGUGUCUGAGACCGUGUGUAUGGAUACACGUGUACUUGAAUCAACCCCGCCUGUGUGUACAGCUCUUGCUGUUAAGUCAACGCUUUACCGGAGCUAUCGCACUUAAGCCUCAGAACAACUUUAUGAGGUCUACUUCUAACAGGCUUGUUUAUAUGCAUUCUUAUUCUAUCCUGGAUUGGAAUCAGAAAAUUGGACAGUGUUGCAGGUUCUGACUGAUGCAGGCACACUGACAGUGAUGAAAGUGAGAACUGUGUCCUCUGAUGUACAACUCCAGUGGGCAACAUUUACAUUGUAAUGUAUGUAAAUGACAUUUCCUGAAGCACAAUUAAGAGGCUACAGGAGCAUCCAUUUGUGUAAAGGCACUUUCCUUUUGUGUUUGUGGUAAUAAAUUAAGGUGGAAUGGAUCAUCCAACAAGAAUCUUAAGGGGAAAAUGUAUACUUAUGAACCACAUCAGACCUCUUUGUUAGAUUUGUUCAACUGUGUUAGCUACAGACUCUUCUUAUAACCGAUUACCCUCUGGCAUGCAUUAGGCCAACAGAGAGUGUUAGCAGCGCCCUUCCCCUCUGCCCGCCAAGCUUACUGCUGUGAGUCAUAAAAACUUUUCUGGGCUUCAUUUUCCUUUUCUACAAAAUGAGAGCUGGAUUAUAUGACCCCAAAGAUCCCUUCACUAAAAUUCUACUAUCUAUGACUACAAAGUCCAUAGCUAUUCGUAGAAAUAAUUGUUAAUGUGAAUGUUCCUUUAGAUUCCAAAUUGAUACUGUAUAGGUGCUUAAAAGUAACUUGAAGCUAUAAAAAAGAUGUUUAACUUGCACCAGUUCACAAAGAGGCACAACAGAGGUUCUACUUUUCUCCCAAACAAAAACUAUUAAAUUGAAAAGAUUUUUAACUCACUCAGGAUAGUUUUUAGAGUAGUUAUAAAGCACUAUGUCACCUCUCUGAUUUCUUUACUCAGUUGGUGAACUAUCAAACCAAUGCAGAAUUUGACAUUUAUUAAAAUAAUAUACUUGGGCUUCCCUGGUGGCGCAGUGGUUGAGAGUCCGCCUGCCGAUGCAGGGGACGCGGGUUCAUGCCCCGGUCCAGGAAGAUCCCACAUGCCGCGGAGCGGCUGGGCCCGUGAGCCAUGGCCGCUGAGCCUGCGUGCCCGGAGCCUGUGCUCCGCAAUGGGAGAGGCCACAACAGUGAGAGGCCCGCGUACCGCAAAAACAAAACAAAACAAAACAAAAAAAACAGGAAUCAAUCUUAUUCUUUCCAACGUCUGUAGCCUUCCUCAUGCCAUUUUCUCCCCACCCCCUGUAUAAAUAAGAGCAUAAUGGAAGAAAGGUUUUAAGGAGAGAUGCACAGACAGUGAAUUUUAAAGCUUGAAGGGAUUUCAGAGAUCAUUUAGUCAAAAUUCAUCGUUUUGCAAAGGAAACUGACACUGGAAAAUUAAAUGUCUCACUUAAGGUCUCGAUAUCACCAUUGCUACUUGCCAAAACCUGGGUUUCCUUGAUCCCCAAAUCUGGCACAUUUUACCUUCUACUGUAACAUGCUUCAUCUGAGGUUGGGUCAGACCAGAUUAGAGAGAGUACUUUUGGAGAGGGUGGGUACAGGGCACAAUGGUAAUGGAAUGGUAAUGAUCAGAGUCAUAAAAUAUCUGGGGAGAUCAUCUAUUUCCUAAUAAUUCUAAAUCUUUAACUUUUUUCUUACUCAGUACUGCUUUAAAAAUUCUUGGGGGAGAACUCAGAUCACUUCUUUGUCUCACAUAAAUAACACUAAGUAAUAAAAGUGACUAGAUUACAACUUAUGACUUUUACUUAUUUGUUCAUUUACUUUUGUCUGUCUCUUCCACUAGAAUGUAUCUUCCAGGAGGGCAGGCCUAUAUCUUUUUGCUUACUCCAACUCCCUUCUAGCAAGUGUUUGACACAUAAAAGAUGUUCAGUAAGUACUGAUAAAGAUGGGGAGUGAAGGCUGAUCACAAAAUUUUCCUGCCCAAAUACUUUACAAAAUAGUUUGCGCGAAAAAAAGAACAGUAAAAACUCCUUUAAAAACCUUACCAGGGACUUCCCCGGUGGCGCAGUGGUUAGGAAUCUGCCUGCCAAUGCAGGGGACACAGAUUUCAGCCCUGGUCCGGGAAGAUCCCACGCUCUGCGGAACAACUAAGCCUGCGGAACUACUGAGCCUGUGCUCUGGAGCCCGCGAGCCACAACUGCUGAGCCUGAGCCUGAGUGCCACACUACUGAGGCCCGUGCGCCUAGAGCCCGUGCUCCGCAACAAGAGAAGCCACCGCAAUGAGAAGCUUGCGCACCGCAACAAAGAGUAGCCUCCGCUCGCAGUAACGAGAGAAAGCCCGCGCACAGCAACAAAGACCCAAGGCAGCCAAAAAUAAAUAAAUAAAUAAAUUUAUAAAAAAAUUACCAGAAGCAGCGAGAAAAAAGAAAAGUCUGCAACCUAAGCCAAUGAAGGCCAAAAUAAUACUAUUAUUUCAAAAUAAAUAAAUAAAUAAGUUUGGAUCAGCAAGAAAUGAAAUAAGCAUGGCUGGAAAUCAAAUUCUCACCAAAAGAAAAGACUGGAAAUCCCAGCACAUUCCCUAGUCAAUUCAUCAAGAUGAUUAUGCCUUGUCUCCUCUCUCCUAAAUCUCCCACAUUUCCCUGCUCCUCACUUCGAACAUUUUAUUGAUAAAUAGAAGCUAUCACAAGAGAAACUCCUUUUUCCCACGUUAUACCUAUCAACCUGACUUCAUCUGUACUCUUCCUUUAUAAAGGGUCAACUCUCCCUGCUCUUAUCUAAGGCAAGCCCCUCUACUUGUACCCUGGAUCCCAUCUUGUAUAGUCAAGGAUGGUGCUCCUGUGAUUACCCCCUCCAUUUCCUGCAUCCUCAGUUUCUCUCUCUUUACUGGAUUAUUCCAAUCAGUAAACAUACUGUAGUAUUUCCUUCUAAAAACACCAUCACCCUAGACCUCAUAUCCUCUUCCACUUACUUGGUGAGUAGGAGCCCAUUUUUUCUGCUCCCUUUUAUAACAAACUUUUUUUUGCGGUACGCGGGCCUCUCACUGUUGUGGUCUCUCCCGUUGCGGAGCACAGGCUCCGGACGCGCAGGCUCAGCGGCCAUGGCUCAUGGGCCCAGCCACUCCGCGGCAUGUGGGAUCUUCCCGGACCGGGGCACAGAACCCGUGUCCCCUGCAUCGGCAGGCGGACUCUCAACCACUGCGCCACCAGGGAAGCCCCUAUAACAAACUUUUAAAAGGUUGUCUCUACUUGGCAGUUUCCACUUCCUCACCAUACAUCAUCUCUUUAGUCCAUUCCAAUUAGGAUUAUUGUCUCCAUAGCUCCACCUAAACUGCUCUUGUUGAGAUCAUCAGUUACCUUCUUGCCAGAUCAUUUUCCUUUUCCCAAAUGUUUGGGACUCCCAGGCAUAUUCCUCACCCUUUUUUUUCUUCACCAUAAUAUUAAUUUCCCCCUCAGUCAUCUUAUCCAAUUUUUCUGAUUUUAAAUAUUGUCUGUGUUCUUAGGACUCCUGAAAUUUGUAUUCUAUCCCUAAUACCUUUGUCGAGCUCCGAACCCGUAUCUACCAACUCCACUCAGAUGUCCAAUAAGGACUGCAAAGUUAACUCAUUCAAAACAAACAUACUGGUUUUCUUCUCCCUCUCAAUUUACUUCUCCCCAAGUUUCCCCCAUGUCAACAAGUGGCAUUAUUUUCAUCCAGUUGCUCAAGACAAAAACCUAGAAGUCAUCCUUAAUUCCUCUUUGUGCCAGUUAUUAGGCUGUUAUCUCUUAGCAAUAAACCAUUCCAUACUCUGUGAUGCUGGGACUGGGACUCUGCAAGCUACAUUUCUAUACUUUGCCAGCUGAAUCCUUGCUACAGUCUGUCAGUAAGCGACAUUAGAAAAAAAAGACUAAAAGUCAGGAAGAGGGAAAAAGAACUUGCUCCUCCUUGUUGGCUUUCUGCACCUGCCAGCAUUGCCCCAGUUAUGGACCUUCACCCUCACAGCAGCAGUUAGCCCCAAAUUUCAACUAUUUUCCACUUCCCUAGAACCAGCCUCAGCACACCUCUCAGAGCCACUAGCAGCAAGUGGGCAGCAUCCCCUGCCCCAGGUCAGGGUUCCAACUCUGCUGGGUCUCCCCUCCUAGCCCCGGGGUUCUAGUAACUUCAGGUCUUCCCAAGUUUAUCCAGGACUAGGUUAGUUCCUGAAGUUAUUAUAUUAUCUCAGUGCUCCCCUUUUCCUUUUUCAGUUAGACAACACCUGUCUGACCAAUUCUUUAUACUCAAUUUAUUGCUGUUGAAAUACUUAGCAGCAGCCAGAGUGACUCCUCUAAAGCAUAUGUCAUCUCCUUGCUCCUCAUCACGGUUGGAACAAAAUUCAGCCUCCUCUUUCAGGCCUUCAGCCCCUUUUGUGACCCGGCCUAUCCAACUUUCUAGUCUCACCUCUCACCAGUUUCUGAUUACUCAUUCAGUUCUAAUCAUUCUGUCUUGAACACACCACUUUUCCACUGCAGGGCCUUUGUACUUGCUCUUCUCUACAUCUGGAUUGUCCAGGUCUUUGCCUGUCUCACAGCCUCGUUCCAUUCACGUUUAUUCUCAAAUGUCAUCUCGGAGAGGCCUACUCUCACUGCAUUAUCUAAAAUGCACAAUUCCCCCCCACCUCCAUUUCCUUACCUGGGUUUCUUAUUCUCACUACCUGACUUUGUUAUGUUAUUUCUCCCUCCCCUAUUCUCAAGUAAAAAGCUUCAUAGCUUCACAUAAAGGAAGGGAUGUGAUCUUAUUUAUCCCUGGUGCUGGCACUCAAUAAAUUCCAGUUGACAAUUGAAUUUAAUAAGUGAAUGCAGAAGAAAAGUGGACCAAAGUAAUUGCAAACAAGGUAAUAUGCAAGUGAGACAAAGACAACAUGAUAUAGCCUACUUCAACUCCCUGAGUACAUAAUGCAACAAAUGAAUCAGAAGAAGCACUUAAAGAUGUAACAGAAGAGAAUUUCCACAAAAUCAUGAAAGAACUGAAUCUGCAGAAUAAAAUGUUCAAAGAAAAAUGGACAUAUACUAUUCAUAUCAAGGCAUAUACUGGUUAAGCUAUUAGCCAUGAAGAAUGAAGGAAAAAAUUCAGACCUCCAGGCCGAAAACUAACUUAUCAGAGGGAGGAAAUCAUGCUGGCCUUAGACUUCCUCUAAGCAAUAUUCAAAGCCAGAAAACAAAGGAAAAAUGUUUGCAGUCUUAAGGCAAAGCCAGCAUGACGCCAAACUAUGAUAUCUAAGUAAGUGACAUUCAGAAAUUGAUGAAAAAGGCAAACAUAACAUCCACGAAUCCAUGUUAAAAAAAAAAAAAACUACUUAGUGAGGAGCAGAUAGCUAAGUGAUGAAUCAAAAUUAAUAAGUAGGAAUUGAGAACUGAGGUGUGUUGCGACCACUGGAUUUUAAAAUAGAGAUCAAGACCAAAUGACCAAAGGAAUUAAGGUUACAAAACAGGAACAUUAAAACCUUCACUUUAAAAAAUAAUGACAUAAAUAAAAAUAUAUCUUUUUCAUGGCAGAGUCAACUUGCAUUUCUAAAUUGGAAACAUACAGAUAAAAAAAUCUCCAAACUCUUAAUUUUUUAAACUUUGGAUAUUUUAGGACAUAAGAUCUCUUGUGGCAAAGAAACAUUUUUCUAGAGUUCAGCAAUUCCUUCAGCUUAUCUUACUACUACCAAAUUCAAAUAAUUUUAACACUUUAAAAAUUUAAAAAGUAUGCACAUUCUCAUCUUAAAUAAGAUUAACUUAUUUGUAUAAGUUACAAAUAGAAAUAUGCCUACCACGAUGGUCACUUAAUAUUGAUGGUAAAAUCUGGGAUCUGAGGAGAUUUAAAAACCUUCCUAUAACUUUCUAUAUUGUUUGAAUUAUUUAUAAAUGAACAUGUAUUGUUUUUAUGAAACCAAUAAAAACACUAUCCUUAAAAUACUAUUAUAUACAGCAGUGUGAAUAUACUUAAUACUACUGAACUGUACAUUUUAAAAUUAUUAAGAUGGCAAAGGGCUUCCCUGGUGGCGCAGCGGUUGAGAGUCCGCCUGCCGAUGCAGGGGGACACGGGUUCGUGCCCCGGUCCAGGAAGAUCCCACAUGCCGCCGAGCGGCUGGGCCCGUGAGCCAUGGCCGCUGAGCCUGCGCGUCUGGAGCCUGUGCUCCACAACGGGAGAGGCCACAACAGUGAGAGGCCCACGUAUGGCAAAAAAAAAAAAGAUGGUAAAGUUUGUUAUGUGUUUUUUUACCACAAUUAAAAAUAAAAAAUACUAUUAUAAAAAUUAUGAUAUAGGUCCAGCCAUUAUGGCUUUACAGAUGGAUUUUGACUAUCCCAAAUUCUCCUCAAAUCAAUUUUUUCCACCAAAGAUUACCCCUCAAAUUAUACCCUUCACAUAAUACUCUGUACUUGCUUAUACCUUAUCUAAUUUAAUUUUAGAAACAGAGACCAUUCACUGGCAGACAUUGUUAUAAGUAUGCAAAAUGAAAAGAUGCAUGUAAAAAGUAACUAAUAUGUUGUAUUACUCUAUUAAAUAUCUUAGUGUUAUGAAAAUGUAAAUAUAUGUUAUUUGAUUUACAUAUUUUGGUGGAAAUCUUUUAAUGAUUUUUUUUCUGAUUGUUAAAAUAUGUGCCCAUUUUAGAAAAUAUGAAAAAGAAGGUAAAAACCACCAUAAUUACAUAAUAUAUUUUGGUAUAUUUUUUCUCCCAACCCUUGAGGAGAAAUAGUUUUGUAACCUAAAAGAUUUAUCUGUACAUUAAAUUAAACAUUAGUGUUUCUCUGUGGCAUUAAGUAUUUUUAGUGGUUGCAAAAAUUCCAUUAGAUUGAUGUACCAUGGUUUAUUUAAUCACUCCUUUACUACUGAAUAUUCAGAUUGUCUCCUCUCUAUAGGUGCUGUAAUGAUCAUAUAUAAAUCUUUGACUUCAUAUCUAAUUUUUUUAGGAUUGGUUCCUGGAAGUGGAACUACUAUUAUCAAAGAUUUGGACACUUUUGACUCCAGAAAAGUAAUAUAGUAAUAGAUGAGUUUGUAAAUUUCAUUGCAUUCUUAGCAACACUACCUGUUAGCACUUUUCUUUUUUUCUUUUUUUAACAUCUCUAUUGGAGUAUAAUUGCUUUACAGUGUUGUGUUUCUGCUGUAUAACAGAGUGAACCAGCUGUAUUUAUAUAUAUAUUCCCACGUCCCCUCCCUCUUGCGUCUCCCUCCCACCCUCCCUAUCCCACCCCUCUAGGUGGUCACGAAGGACUGAGCUGAUCUCCCUGUUCUAUGUGGCUGCUUCCCACUAGCUAUCUAUUUUACAUUUGGUAGUAUAUACAUGUCAAUGUUACUCUCUCACUUCGUCCCAGCUUACCCUUCCCCCUCCCCAUGUCCUCAAGUCCAUUCUCUACAUCUGAGUCUUUAUUUCUGUCCUGCCCACAGGUUCUUCAGAACCACUUUUAUUUUUCAGAUUCCAUAUAUAUGGGUUAGCAUACGGUAUUUGUUUUUCUCUUUCUGACUUACUUCUCUCUUUAUGACAGACUCUACAUCCAUCCACCUCACAACAAAUAACUCAAUUUCGGUUCUUUUUAUGGCUAAUAUUCCAUUGUAUAUACGUGCCACAUCUUCUUUAUCCAUUCAUCUGUUGAUGGACACUUAGGUUGUUUCCAUGUCCUGGCUAUUAUAAAUAGUGCUGCAAUGAACAUUGUGGUACAUGACUGUUUUUGAAUUAUGGUUUUCUCAGGGUAUGUGCCCAGUAGUGGGAUUGCUGGGUCAUAUGGUAGUUCUAUUUUUAGUUUUUUAAGGAACCUCCAUACUGUUCUCCAUAGUGGCUGUAUCAAUUUACAUUCCCACCAACAGUGCAAGAGGGUUGCCUUUUCUCCACACUCUCUCCAGCAUUCAUUGUUUCUAGAUUUUUUGAUGAUGGCCAUUCUGACUGGUGUGAGGUGAUACAUCAUUGUAGUUUUGAUUUGCAUUUCUCUAGUGAUUAGUGAUGUUGAGCAUCCUUUCAUGUUAGCACUUAUUUUCAAUCUCUGUCAAUCUGAUGGAAGACUCUUUCUGUAAUUUAGUUUGAUAAAGUUGCAUUUUUGCUGAUCCACUCAAUAACUUUACUAUUUCAAGGACUUAUAAUUCUUUGUCUUCUCCAUGAUGCUUAACAGAGCCUUGCUAAGAUACAGAAGAAAUGUAUUGUUUUAUUGGCUUUGGCAGCAUUUCUUUUAAAAUACAUUAUAUCUUGAACACAUAGAAAGGUGAAGAAAGAGAACAUCAAAAAGGAUCCAAAUUAUUUUACUUAAUAAAAAGUAAGAUUGUAUUCAAUUCUUAAUGUAGUCAUAGAGCGUUAUUACUAUCAGCCAGCAAUAUCAUAUUUUAUUUAUUGAAAUCAUAUUGAAUUUAUUGCUUAAUGUGCCAUUUUUACUACAGCACUUUUCAAAAUUCUUCAAAAUGCUUAGUCUAUAAGGUUAAGAAAAACAUUCACUAGAUAACUACUUUGAAAUAAUUUCCUCAACUCUGCCUUCAUUCAAGAGGCCUAAAAACAGACUGGCCUACUUCCAACUUUCACGUUAUCUUUGCUAUGAAGUCAUUCUAUAGAUAGGUUAAUAAGCAUUCUGGCAUACAGAAAAAUAGUUUCUGUAAAACUAUAUUGCAUAGUUUGGCUGGGGUUGUUCCUCCUUCAGAACUGCAUUACGUAAUUUUAAAGUGUUUACUUAAGCUCCUUUGGGCUGCCUCCAUGGUAGCUAUGAAGUCACUGAGAAUUAGGAACAGUUUGGGGCCUGAUAACAAAGUCUAUUAGUUUAAUGUGAACACUUUGUCAAUUUUUUUUUUAUCACUGCCAUAUAAGGAAAUUUAAAAACAAGGAUAUUAAUUCAUUUUAUUUUUUUAAAAAGUUUGCUACUUCAAAAAUCAUUAAGAAAUACACACACACACACAAAAGGUUCAUAAAUGUACCUUUGCUCAUUACCUAAAUGUACUUAUUUUAAAACCCGUACUCUAUAGCAUGAAUUCACAGUGUGAUUUUGACUUAUAAAUAAUUAUGCAAAAUUACCAAAAUGUAUAGAGCACAGGCUUUAGGAGAGUAUGAAUUAUUAAAACGGCCUAAGCACUAUUUCUAUCUGUAAGUCAUAAAGGAAGUUUUCUAUGAGAACAUCAAAGAUAUAUAAAUUAUAAUAAUAUCAGCUUUGGGAGAAUUUAAAAAGAUACUAGGUUAUAAGAUUAUUUUAUCUUGAUUACACAGAGAAAGGGAGUAUCUUCAGUUCCUUAGAGAACUCUUGAGCUCCUUUACGAACUAAAUAAGAAUGUGUCAUGCAAUGUGCGUUGUACAAGUGGGAGAAGAGUCAUUCAGAUUUUGUAUGUUAAUCAAGUGUUAUAUCACCUCAAGGAAACAUGCAAAUUCUUAUAAAAUACCUAAAAUCUCAACCAUCACUUUAGAAUUACUGAGUUUUAUGAACCAACAAGCCCAAGUAAAGUCAAGAUCCUGACAUCUGGGACUUCCCUGGUGGCGCAGUGGUUAAGAAUCUGCCUGCCAAUGCAGGGGACACAGGUUCGAGCCCUGGUCUGGGAAGAUCCCACGUGCUGCAGAGCAACUAAGCCUGUGUGCCACAACUACUGAGCCUGUGCUCUAGAGCCCACGAGCCACAACUACUGAGCCCACGUGCUGCAACUACUGAAGCCCACGCUCCUAGAGCCCAUGUUCCGCAAUGAGAAGCCACCGCGAUGAGAAACCCGCGUGCCGCAACGAAAAGUAGCCCCCACUCACCGCAACUAGAGAAAGCCCGCGCGCAUCAACAAAGACCCAACACAGCCAAAAAAAAAAAGAUCCCGACAUCUAAAAACAUGUAACCCUUUAAAUGUCAUUUUAUUUUAAUUAUGUAACAUGAGUUUAUUAUAAAAUUACUUAUAGGAAUAAUCUCGAUAGCAUUUUGUUUUUUAACUUUGAAGUCAUUGAUGGCCUUGCCAAUGAUCUAGUGAGGUCCAAAGUCAGGGACAAUUCAAGGAGGGAAUGGAAGAACUUUUAGGACCUGAUUAUCUCCUUGAAGGUGCAGCCACUGUGCGUGUCCUACCUAGCUUAGGAGAGAGAGAAGUGUCUGUGUAUAGGAGGCCUAACCUGGAGGGGAGGGAAUGAUCAUGAGGGAGAAAAAUGGGGGAUAAUUAUGAGACUGCCCAAUCAGAUUGGCUCUCGAUUUGCUUUGCUGUAAUGAUGAAAUGUUUGGGUUUUUAUAUUUCAUUCUAAUAUCAAAAAGAGGAUAUUUAUUUGGUUUCUUAUGUUUAAACAUUUUUCAUAUACAAUAUAUUUAUACAUCUAUUUAUCUGAAGUUAAUAUGUGUGGUGAUUUCAAACACGUUGCCAAUUCUCUUCCCAUUAAAAGGUAGAGUCUGAUUCUCCUGUCUAGAAUUGGUAUGGCAUUAGUUAUUUGCCUCUAGCGAACAGAAUGUGGAUAGGAUGCUCCAGACUUCUACGCUUAGGUCAUAAGUGAUACAGUUUCACCUGGCUCUCAGUCUUGGGACCCUUGGAGCCCAGAGCCCUGUUGUGAGGAAGCCCACACCACAAGGAGAGGCCAUGUGCAGGUGUUCUGGCUGAAAGCCCUAGCUAAGGUGCCAGCCAUACAUGAGUACGGAUUGCUAGGUGUGGAAGUGAACACGCCUUCGGGUGAUGCAAGCCUUCGGCCUAUGAGCUGCCCCAGCUGACUCCCAGUGGACCGGAAACAAGGUGUCUGCACAGCCCUACCCAUACUGCAUAUUCAUGAGCAAGUAAUGUGUUUUAAACAACUAAGUUUUGGGGGUGGUUUGUUUUGUAUUUGAGUCCCUGCUUCCAUUAAAUCUCUAGCUCAGGUUAGCUGUAACAACUAGGAACACUUUCCCUCCACUUUUCCUUGUUUCCCUAGCCAGACUGAGAUCUUAGCACCUCCAGGUACUAAUUGUGGAUGAUUAAGUGUGGUUUUGAAGUGCUGUUAGGAACAAAACCCACCAUUAUGGGGACCCAUUCUAGCCAAAGUCCUUUUCCUUGAAGGCUUAGUGGUUGAGCUGCGGAAAAAGAAAGCUUGACGCCCUCCAUCUCUCCUUUUCUUCUUCACUAGGUAUCCCUGGUUUUAAAAAAGAGGGGAAAGCAAGAUUUAAUCUUCUCCUGCCCUCAUCUCCCUUCUGAAUUCAAAUCUUUGGAAAGGUGCUUUCUUUUUCACUGAAAAGGUACACAGCCUUUUCCGUCUUACAAAGGGACCAAGCCAGCCACAGCUUUUUAUUCCUUAUGAAGGAAGCAAAACAGAGUUCCUCCUCCGGAACCCGAGGCCCACGUCUCCUCCCUCCCCAGACCAGAAUGGGGAUGGAUCCCUUGUUCUGGCCCCACCAGCCAGUCACUUUCCCAUCCCACCAACUCUUUCAAAUUACCUUUCUUGAACCCCUCUUCUCUCUAUCCCCACUGCCACUAGGUACACAGCAGUGGUUCUAGUUGAUUCUUACUUAGAUCACAGGAUAUUUUAUUUUCCAUCUUCCAGUCUCCAGGACCCCAACUGGUGUAAUCUUUUCAAGGACCUGUAAUCUUUUCAUACCUGACCAUGCAUUUCCACUAAAAAAAAAAAAAAUCCUUUCAUGGUUCUCCCUUUCCUGCAGGUUUCAAUCCGGAGGCCCAAUAGUCAUUUACUCACAAAGCAGCGUAAACCCUUGAAAUUGUAUGCAAAAUUGUAAUAGAAGUCUAUAAGUACAUUUUUUUUUUCCUGGAGAGAGACCAGAUUGCUUUCCGUAGGUUCUCAAAAGGGUAUGUGUUCCCCCAAAAGAUAAAGACUUGUAGGUCUCAGGCUAAAGUCCAAACUCCCUAGCAUGGACUACAUGGGUGUGACCUGGCCAUUCUUCCAGCCUCCUUUCUUUCCCUUCUCUUUACCCCUUUCAUAUCCCACCCAUUCUUACUUGGCUGUGGUUGUUCACUACAGGCCUUUGUACAUGAUGCUUUGCUUGCUCAGCUUGGGGAAAUCCUUUCCUUUCCUCUCUGCUUAGCUGGUCUAACUUUUGCCCAUCCAGGAAACUGCCUUCUUUCUUUUAAGAAGCACCUCAGGCCAUGCUACCUACAGAAAGUUGUGCAGGCUAAGCAAGCUAGGUGUGAACUCUUGCCUCCCUGAAUCCAGCCUAGCAAUUGCUCUUUCUUUUAGCAUCUACCUCCUGGAUUUACAAACUGGGGUGGGGGGUGGGAGAAAAGAAGAUAAAACGUAAAGUAAAACCUGUAAAACAAGCAGUGACUAAUAAUUGUGCAGCACUUAUACAGAAGAAGAACCCCAGGAUGUAGUGUACAUUUUUGUAGUGCUUUCUUGGGAGGGUGAGAUUGGGUAGUAAAUGUGUAGUUUAUAGUUCCCUCAGAGUGUUAAUGAUAAAUACAACACACACCUUCCUGUUAGAGAAUAUCCUAUAUGAAUUUUCAACAUCAUCCAGUUUUCCUUUAUUUUAUGCCCAGCCAACAAAUGGUGUUAUGUAUUUAACAAAUACUGAAAUUAAUAAACAACAUAGUUCUGAUAUUCUGCCAUCUA